rnacentral:rRNA from 2 species
GACUCUCGGCAACGGAUAUCUCGGCUCACGCAUCGAUGAAGAACGUAGCAAAAUGCGAUACUUGGUGUGAAUUGCAGAAUCCCGUGAACCAUCGAGUUUUUGAACGCAAGUUGCGCCCUAAGCCUUUCGGUCGAGGGCACGCCUGCCUGGGCGUCACAC